UGACAGGCUCCCCGGGAAGCAGGGGGUCCGCAGAAUCUCUGGAGAGUUCCAAAAGGGGUUCCCGGGUGUUCUUUCCGCUGCUUUUGGACAACCCAGAGAUUCUUUGGAGAAUGUUCCAGAACACAGAGGAGUAAACUCCACCCAGCCACAACCCUGGGAAGGCAAGAAGGCAAGGGCAGGGUUCAAAUGACCUCUUGUGCCUCAAAACCUGCUCCAGAUCCAGAGACAUGCCUGUCACCUGCCCAGUUAUCAAUCUCACCCCCUUUGUCACUCCUCACCCCAAGGUAUCCACCUGACCGUGGUUCAGACUCCCCCAAAUCUUCCCUCCCUUCCCUUCGCUCGCUGGCUCUCAUCUUCUCCCACCUGCUCCUGCCUUAGCCUCUCCAGGCAGCCCCCUCCCAGGCCAUUCUUGCAGAGCUUCUGCUAGAGAAGUUGUGGAAAGGCUGAUCCCCCACCCUUUUAAUGGCUUUCAGUUACCUUCUGGGUACAACUCAAAUUCCUCAGUGGAGCCCUCUUCCUCCCUGGGAGCCCUUCCCAGAAGUCCACCUCUCAGACCUGGGGGACAGGCCCAUCAAAGUCUGCCUGAAGCCCUCCACCUCGGCACCUGCUCCUUCUGCCGGGAGUACCUUCCCCCAAACCCUGUUCCUUUCCUUGACUCCUGCUCCUCUUGAGUUUUGUUUUCAGUGCUUACACCACUCUCUCAUUUCUAGACCUUUACAUUUUGAAUAAAAGCAUCUGUUGUAUUUGCUAUCUUACAGGGUC
rnacentral:lncRNA from 1 species